rnacentral:lncRNA from 1 species
UCCUGUGGAACUCAUGGCAUCAGUCGUAUGGACCUUCAUGUAUUUGAUAGUUUUCUCGAUCACUUUUAUGCCCUCAACUACAGCUAAGGCUACCCCACAAGUUCAUUGAGAUUUGUUUUUUAUAGGACUUGGAUUAAUAAUCUCCAACAAUAUGGUCAUUGCUUCUUAUAUAUACUUUCAGUUCUAAAUACAUUUCAGAUUUUUCUUUAUCCUGUACUACUAAACUAUGUGUGCUAAACCAAACAUGGCAUCUGCGUCUUUUUAUGCAUGCAUGUUUCAAGACAAUAUAUCUAAUAUGUAGUAUACAGAAAGGUACCUAAAUAUUAGCUUAUAUUGCCAACUCUUGAAAAUAUACGGUCCCUGUACAUUUUUUGCCGAGAACCUGGGGAGCUUGGGACGAAGUAUGGUGUCAAUAAUCAGUAUAUACCAGAACAAUAUUUCAACACCGAUGUCACUUGCCACAGUACUUCCUUCACUGCCAAUCUAGCCGCAAACUCUGUUUGUCCUCGAAUCUAGCUCCACAAAGGUUGUGCUUUGCCGUGCAUCUAAAAGUAAGGUUACUAUCAUAAUUAAUUAGUAGAGCUUCUUCUCUAUUCAAAUUGAAUUUGAUAAGCAACAAAGUCCUCUGUGUCAUGCUUCAAUUAUAUGGCUCGAGCCGGCCAAACCUGAAAUGUUCGGUGAAGAUUCAAAGUACAUCUAGAUUACUUUGUGUUGCCCACAAUCCUAUUACUUGAUUUUUUUUGAGCUAACUAUAUCUAUGGAUAAAUUUGCAAGAUGAUGCAAAAAAAUUGCUUGCAGGUAGGCUGUGUACAGAGAUGCAUGUUGUGAGUUCAUAACAAUUUUACAAUAUUGAGAUUUGUUUUAGAUGCUUCUAAGCAGUGCUAUAGCAGAACGGUGCUCCAUUUCCUUACUGUUGUUGCUAAAUAUUUGUUUUGUGGCAUAUUAGGACUGAACGGCAUCAUGCUAACAACCUCACCCUAGGAGUCCACUUCUUCACGGUCAUGGCAUCUGCCUCCACCAAUUAUCUAGAGGUAAUUGAUUUGGUGCCCUCCGUUGGAUGAAGAUGCUUUAUUAUGUGUGGUUUAGUCGCAUGUGGUUCAUGCAAGCUGCCCUUUAGUUUUUAGUGACGUUGGAUAGAGUUGAGAAAAAUAUAUUUAUGCCUACAAUUUUGUGUGCCUUUUUCUAGCAGUUAAGUUCCAGAGACAAUUGGGGAGGUCAACUUUGAGCUGCAGCACUCUAUGUGUUCACGCAAUCGGAACGCCCAAAAUAUCAUGCCAAUAUGUGAUUUAUGCCUUUUCUGUUAGGUAUGUGAUCAUUGAUACAUAUGAUUAGUUGGUACUUAGGAGCAUGCAAACCCCUGUUUCCUUCAUAAUCCAGAAGGUCCAAAUUUUAAAUAUGGAUGUUCAGCUAUGAGGAGAACCUUAUUGGCUCGGACAUCAUAUUCUUUAGGUAGGCAAUCAUUACUUCAUUAUGAUUAGUUGAUAUUUCUGAACAGGGGGAGCCAUGGUGUCCACAAGGCUCAAUCAAGUCGAAUUUCUGAUAUAGAUUUUAAAUGAUCAAGACAACCUAAGUACCUCUUUGCUUGGCCACCAUUGCCAAUAUCUAUGGAGCAGUUUUCAAGUGUGCAAAUUUCCAAACCAUUAAAACAACCUCUAGGUGCAUACACACAGGCAACUGCCAGCAUAUUGUGAGAGUGCAUUUUAAAACGAUUUGCAUAACUUCUGAUGAGGAUAAUCAUAAAAUGCUCAAAGCAUUUUAAAUUAAUCUUCCAACUUUGUAAAUACUGAAUCAAAAUAUCAAAUAAAUAAUUUUUAGGUUCAUUAAUAAAGAUAGAGUGCUCCUAUUUAGGCAGUGCCAAGUAUUAGAUGUUCGAUAUCUCUAUUAGCUUUCCCUAAAUGUUAAAUACUAAAAAGAUCUGAGUUGUGAGUGCUACUUCAUUGGUAUUUUGAUGUGUCUUCACAUUAUAAAAUACUACUGAUGGUCUUGCAGGAUUAUCUCCCUUCUCCACGGAUAAAUUGCUUGAUGUGUUCAAUUGUCCGGUUUUCCCUAAAUGUUAAACACUAAAAAGGCCUGAGUGGUAAGUGCUACUUCAUUGGUAUUUUAAUGUGUCUUCACAUUAUAAAAUACAACUGAUGGUCUUGCAGGAUUAUCUCCCUUCUCCACGGAUAAAUUGCUUGAUGUGUUCAAUGGUCCGGUUGAAUUGGAUACAAGCAUGCUACAAAUCAAAUAGUUAUUUGAUAAGGCAUUUGAUGAGCUCCUGUAAUUCUAAUCUACUUCCCACAUUUUACAGCUGAUGUUAUUUAGUAAUCUGUAGUGAGCCUAAGAAAUAGUACUAUGGGGAGAAGCAGGCAACACGUAAUAUGUGUGUCAUUUGAGAAAAAUGAAACUUCCAACUUUCCAACUGUUCAUUGCAUAUUACAUGUAAAAGACACUAUCUUAGACAAAUAGAUGAUUCACCAGGUUCAAUGAAAGUUAGCUUAAAUACCAUGUAUUUUUCUGCACAUGGAUUAUUGCCUAUUGUAGAUCAUCCUCUGUACAUUUGUUAGUCUAAUAGUCAAGCAGGACAAAAAAGUUCACUCCAGUAAUGCCUUUGCUCUACAAGAUCUGACAAUUGUUAAAACAACAAAUCACAGACUAAUGAUUUCAUUUGUUUGCGGGAAUAGGCACUGUAUUUUUCACUCUUAUGCAAAAAAAACUUUAAGUCGCGAUUUUUUUUAAAAAAAUUCAUGAAAGAUCUCGAGGGUGAGACAAUUUUCAUCAUAUUCAGAGGAAUAUUAGCUUGAGUACCAUAUAGAGGGUGAGACAAGUGGUACUUGACAUAACAUGUCUCUUGCGUUAAUUUUCUUAUUCAGGUGGCACACUACGUGUAGCAAACUCAUUCAUAGUAAAGAAAUGAAUGGUAUCAUUUCUCAUGCCACGGAAGUAUGGUCUGAAGUUGCCUUACUCUGAGGACCUUUUUUCAACAUCUAUGACCCGACUAGCAAAUUAUGGCAACAGCAGUCACGUCAGGCAUAAUACAACGCACAGGGCCAUCAACUAGCUCCAUAAAUCUUAAUCUCAUUUUCUGUGAUUGUUGGUUUGCUAUAUAAGUCAUUGAUGAUGAAAGAAUGUAGAAACCACGUGUUGGGUACAAUAUUUAACCAUACAAUUUCUGCUAGAAACCAUCAUAAUCCAUGCCUCCCCCUACUUUUCUUACAGCAAACUAAUAGAUCUCAACUAACCACAAGCUUAGCCUGUGGUAUACUGCAUAAAUAUCUAGCUUAUGGAAAGCCUGGUAAGUGGAGCACUGGAGCGCCUUCUAACUAGCAGAGCCCAAUUCACUGUUUUGUACAUAGAUGAGAAAUUUGCUUGCUGCCACUCAUCUAAUAUCAGAUGUUUCUGUUCCAUGUGGAACUAACAGUUCACAUCUCUAGCUCUACUGCUUUGUUGUUGUACACAAAAGCUUUUGUAACCACGAUGCUGAUAUACGUAUGAUAGGUACUUCAUGUGCCACCACGUUUGUAGGCAGGUUUCAAUAAAAGUAUUAGAAAUUACAUUUUUUCCACAUUAAUCAAAUAUUCAGUAAUGGAUUUUUGGUUCUAUUUUUAUUGCAAACCAGUUCAUUCUUCGCAAACAAGAAAUUCUACAUGCUGCGGAGAACCACAUCUACA